ensembl:misc_RNA 7SK 7SK RNA
GGAUGUGAGGGCAAUCUGGCUGCAACAUCCGUCACCCCGGUGAUUGCUAGGGUUGAUUCGGCUGAUCUGGUCGAGUAGGUGGGUGUCCCUUUCCUCCCUCACCGCUCCAUGUGCAUCCCUCCCUUGGUCAAAGAGGACAACCAUCCCACAUAGAAGGAGAGGCAUUUCCUUGGUCAAGGCCAUAAAGCAACUGCACUCCCCUGCUAGAACCUCCAAAUAAUCUGUCAUAGAAAAGGAGGGAGUUCAUCAGGUCCUCUAAAUUAUACUGAUGAUAUAAUCCAAUUA